GAACGACUCUCGGCAACGGAUAUCUCGGCCCUUGCAUCGAUGAAGAACGUAGUGAAAUGCGAUACUUGGUGUGAAUUGCAGAAUCCCGUGAACCAUCGAGUCUUUGAACGCAAGUUGCGCCCGAAGCCAUUAGGCCGAGGGCACGCCUGCCUGGGUGUCACAC
rnacentral:rRNA from 1 species